UGCCGUCUUGUCAAAUUCGGCACCCGCUGAUCUGUAGUCGGCCGCCGAGCUCUCCUGCAGCUCAUGGGCCGCGCGUCUUCGCCAGCGGAGCGUGGGGGUAAAUCUGUGCUGCAGACACUC